UCUUUUCAGCUUUCCCCCUUCGCCCUCCUACUCCCUCCUUCUUCCCCCUGUUCCCAGCCACCAAAACAACCACACCGGCAAAAGCGGGAUGGAUUUUGGAGUGUCGGGAGAAAGGAGGGAUUAAAAGUCUGAUGCUGCUGCCCACAUGGAAGCUGUCCCUGAUACAGAGCUAGCCUGAGGUCUGUGCGUGCCUUGAGACAUCAAAAUACAGCAGCUCAGCUAUCCUGCCCCAAACACUGCUCCGACCACCUGUGGAUUGGAGGGGAGAGAGUUCCUGGAGUCAGGGAGCCAUUCAAACCAAAUGGAGGCAAACUGGAAGAUCUUGGCUUGGACUGAGUUUCUCAAGGAGCGUGAGGACAGGAGAGCUGUGAAUUGUUAAGUUUCAUCCCACAGGACAAGCACAUGUAAGACAGUAACUUUGUAAUGCAGAAAUUGUCUUCACCUGCCUGCCUGAUGCUUUCUCCUCUCUGAAAGCCUGACUUGUCAAAAGCAUCACUUAAUAAUAAUACGAGGAGCAGCUUUCCUGCUCCCUUGGAACUUGGCAGGAGUAUAAAUACACAGUAAGAGAAAAGAGGAAUCAAAAACUUAACAAUAGGAAAGGGAAAUACAAUAGUGUAAAGUGGCCUGCACCCCUCAUAUUUUAAUUUCCACCAAAUGCCCCUAGAAACGCUGGGCACAGCAAAAGCCUCGAGAUUGAUAUGCAAAGCAUGUGAGCUUGUUGCAAUAGCUGCACCACAGCGCACGCCUAGGUGUUCUACACCUCACACACACAUCACCCCCUAGGAUUAAGAUUCAAAUCACCUGUCCUCCAUCGCUAAUAAAAAUGAAAUAUAUUAGGGGAAGUUUGAAUACGGUGGCUUGACAGAGCAUGUCAUGUCUCACACGUGAAAAAAUGCACCGAGUGCACAAUCAAAAAGCAGCUGCCCAUUUUUGUGGCACCGGAUUUUUCUGUUUCAGAGGGCAAAAUGUGUGCUUGGAGACCAGGUGAGCCUGAACCCUUAAACUCCUGCAGCCCCUGAGAGUGCAGUGUAAGGUCAGAUCAGCACUCACUGCUUUGAGGAGGAAAAUCAGAUGUUUUUAUGAGACCUCCAGAUUUGCUAUUUGCUUUCCUUUUUGAGUGUGCAGAACAUAAGCAAAGCACGAGAAGCAGCGCUGUACUUUGAGUAGUGCCUCCCCAGUGAAGAAGUUGCCACAGCAGAAUACCACCCUAGGGUGGAAGUUGUCAAUAUUGUAAUAUUAAGGGUUUCCACUAUAAGUCUAAGCCAUCCUUAGCCUAAAGGCCAGAUUGUACAAAGGCUUUCCGGAAAAAAGUGCCAGCCAGGUAGAUGAGCACAUCUCCAGAGUGCUGACAGGGCUGGUGGCUUUUUCAGCCCAUCCUAGGCUCAGUUUUUCAGGAAUGCAAGAAGCCAGACAGAUUUUAGAGUGGAAAGUGAUAAGCAGCACUCCAAGUGAGAUGCAAACAAAGGACAGGGGCUUGCAUUAAGGAACCACCAGGCACAACAGGUUAUUUUGUUCUGUAAGAAUGGCUUCCAUUAUUGACACAAGGAUGGACAUUACCAGUUCAAUCCCUGUUGGAAACUGUACCCCUUCCCUAAUUGUGGGGAUAAAACUGAUUCAAAAAGGUACAUCACAGCUCCAGGUGCUGGAGAUAGAAAUAUGGUAAAGCCUGUUCAGUAUGGACUCAUGCAACAGACAGCAACUGCUUCAAAAAUUGCCCCAGCUUCCAGGAAGGAUGCUUUAAGAAGCUGUAAACAGCCAGAUCCCAGGCAGCCUCUGGGAAAGGCCUCAUGCAGGUGCACAAAUGCAUCUCAAAUCUGCGACCUCAACAGGUGGGCCUGAUGUUGGUUUCUGUGGAGAGGCACCACAGCCUCUGGGAUGCCCUUUUCCUCCUGAAUUGUCAGGCUGGUGGUGGAGGAAGACAGAAGAGGAAGAACUUAAUGUGCCACUGCUUGUGCUGUGACCUGCAGAUAGCGUGAGGACUUUGCUCCUCAGGACUGUCCAUCUGGCACUAUUCCUGAGCAAUAAAAGCUCACCCACAAAGUAUUUUAAAGCAAACAGUUGGUGUAAUGAAUACCUUAAUACUCCUAAUACAAUACCAAAAAUAGUAACAACUAUAAAAAUACCCACUCAGUGAAAAGAGCCCAAAUUCAGAGUCCAGCUCCUUCAGAGAACAGGAGUUAGGACCCACGGAGGCUGUGAGUUUAUAUCACAGGAGGGUGACUUCCUCUACCACUCACUCUCCAAUGAUUCCCUGUGGCUAAUCCAAGCACACCUGUACACCUUCCAGCAGAAGAGGUGUUCCAGCAACCCUUGGACCUAGCGAAAAGAUUCUCUCUCUGCCUUCUUCAAACUUAGAAAAGCAGGGCCACUGAAACAGCCUCAAGAGCCAAAUACUAUCUCUGAUUCAUCAGCACGCAUCAUGCACAAGAGCAAGAACUGAUUUCGUAAGAUACCUGGAACAAAAAGUCUUUAUCAUUUAAGAUCAGAAUUUGUUUACCAGGGAGCAUUAUUUAACCUGAGGAAGACAGGCAGAAAUCUGAAAAUCUGCCUUUAAUUUACUCUGUUAUGAUCUAUAUUAUUGUUCUUGCAGUUCUCUUUUUAGGUGACUUUACAGUAGGCAGGCUUGAGCAACACAGGACAAGAUACUUUGUAAAGAGUUAGAUCCUAAUGUCUGAAUUCCUGAUUUUAAUCUUGUUGGUUCCAAACCAGAUUCACCCAUUUUUUUCCUUUUGAAACUGUUUACUAUACAAAUGUAAAAUAAGCACUGAAACCAGGUGUACAUAAGUAUUGUGCCCAAGGAAUACUUACAGUACCUGAGAAAGAGCACUGUGUGGAAGGGGGUUUUUUUUGUUCAGUUUGGUUGCUAGCAUAGUGCAUCAAUGAUUUCAUGCCAUUUUAUAUCAUUUUACCUUUCUGCUUUGGCCUAUAAUGAAAGCAGUAUCUGUUCAUAUCCUCCUUUUAGUCCAAAUCAUACAGGUAAAAAUAAGGUCUCUUACAUUUUUAAAAUUAAGUGUGCCUUCCACUAAUCUUACAUGUCUUCUUUUUUCUUUUUUUCACGAAAGCAAGUGUUGUUUGGUGUGUGUAACUAUUUCAGUGAGCUAAAUAUCUACUGAAAACUCAAAUCAUUCACUGGCCUCGUUCUCUCUAGUUGUUGCAUUCAGAUUAAUAAACCUGUUUCCCACUUAAAAAGAAAAGAGAAUUCAGAAACGUUUAGCAUCAAGUGAAAAAAGCAGCAAGAAAAUGACUAACGGGUACUGGGACAUGGCAUAUUUAUUUUGUCCUGUCAAUUAUUUUUAAAGAAUCCCUUGCUUAUGGAGGAAGAUUUUUUAAAAACCUGGACUAUUAAAUAAAGAUGUCCACAAGCACCGGUUUCUUCAUUUUUCCUCAUUUUGGAGGAAGUGGAUACUGGAAUGGUUAGAGGUUUUUUACUUUAUAUUAUUAUACUUUUGCCAGUGCUGAAAAGAACUCCCGUUUCAAGGGUCUUAGAAUAAACCUGCAUAAAGUGUUUAUGACACUGCGGUAACACAUUUAUGAAGCCAAAUACUCACGGGCACUUACAACAUUAGGAAAACACCAAUAUCAGAUGUUCUCCUCAACACUUCAAAGCUGCAGCUGAGUGCAAAGUUCCAGAGGUACCAGCUACUCCAGGGUCAGCGGUGGCUCCAAGUAAACGCGUUUAGAGGCCUGGACCUGGAGGUAAUUUCAAUGUGUUCUCAUCCAGUCAUGAGCACACAAUCACCUAUUGAAAGUGUCUGGCUUGGAGUGCAGACAGAUGGAGAGCACAGGGGUUAGUACAGCCAGGCCUUGGACUGACCUUUGCAGAGAGAAUUAAAUCAGUCUGACCUUGUUGUGAAGCCUAAAUUAUAUCCAUAGACCCCCAAAUAAUGCAUCUUUAAUGCAUCGCUGCCCUCUUUUUAUCAGCCUCUUUACCUCGAGGGUAUCUUGUUUGCUAACUACUGAUGUUAAAUUGCAGCUAUUUAUGCUUACAUUUGUGACCUCGGUGGACAUCUUGUCACAUUUUUCAUGAGCACUUGAAAAAGUAGAGAAAUAUUUAUAUAGAGAGAAUAUAUAAAACUGAGUUCUCGUUUCACUUAGACAUAAAAUAAACAUUAAGGGGAAAAGAAACCUGGUUCAACUGUGGGGCGCUGUAUUCAUUGCAUAAGUCUAACACAAUAGUCAUUGUAUGAUUCUGAGCUUCAAUAUCAUCCAUAACCUAUCAUCUGGACAGCCUGGAAAACAGAACGGUGCCACGUAAUAGGAUUUCCAGUAUCUUACAAACACCUUUUCUUCUCAGAUAUUUUUAAUAUUUCAGGAUUUUUUAAAAUUCAAAAUAGUGCUAAGAACAGAAUAACCUCUGUGACACCUGUCAGUUUUUGUAAUACAGACCUCUGGACAGAAACAAUACCGAGUCCACAGGCUGGAAUCUCGACUGGAAACCAGCUCGGUUCAGACCAGGAAGCGUUUAAUUGGUUCUUCUGUUGACUGCAGCAGCAGAGGAGCCCAGUGGAAGAUCAGGAGAACUGCAUCCUUUCCCACUGCCUGAAAGACUCCGUUUUCUGCUGUACCUUAACCCGAACAAAAGGUGCUUUAAAAAAAAAGAUUUUAGUCCAGGAUGUUGCUUUCCAAGUACCACUAUUCUAAAGUGCAUCGAGUUCCCUUUUAGCUUCUAUUAAUCAAAAUAAAACUGAUUUAAACUACAAAAGGAGCAAGGUUUUGUUCCUCUGCUGUUAGUUUGGGAUCUUGGCUCUGCCACCGGCUGUCUUUGCAAUUCGGGCAAGUCACCGAGGCCUGUCACAGGGAGUCCUCUGGGAAUCUCCACACGGAAAGCUGAGACUUCGCAGGCCAGUGUGGUCCAUCAUCCGCAGGUUCGGCUCCACACCACUUGUGUGUAGGAACGCUCUUCCCAGCAGCAGUGAGCUGUUAGGGUGGCUCACCCAAUUCAUGGAAUCACUCCAGGGCUGGCCCUGCCACCUUGCUGACCUCAUCAUCCAGCUCUCUAAGCCAACACAAAAAUAUUUGCUCCCUUUUGCCGAGAGGGUUUUUGCUGGUUUAGCAAAGUGCACGGAACGAGCGAGGGGAGAGGAGCAGCAGCAGCAGAACAGAGCACGCAGCUGCAGGGCGGAGAAGAGCAACCCAGUGCAGCACUGAUUUAAAUCAGCUGCACAACCACACCAUUAGAUUAAACUGCUGAUGAAGGUUAAGUUUGGUCUAAUCCUUGGCACCGAAGCAGCUGAAAUGCUGGAAGACGAUGCUUGCUCCCAGCUUUAUUCCUUACACUGAGAAAAGCCCAAACCAUCAGAACUCUAUUUGCAUCACUAAAGAGCCGCCCUCCAGGGUGGGCUACAAUGAUCACGCUCCUCAGAUACACUGGUAUGAGCAGUGUUUGCCUGCUGCAAUAAAAUUAAUA